rnacentral:lncRNA from 1 species
UUUUUAUAGAUAGAGAUAAACUGUAAACAGAAAUAGUGUACAACAAAGUAAGACCUAAAAUUAAGUCAACAUGACCAAAAUGGUCAAUUGACCCUCUAAGGAGUUUUUGUCCUUUAUAGUCAAUUUUUAACAAUUUUCAUAAAGUUUGUAAAUUUUUACUAACAUUUUCCACUGAAACUACUGAGCCAAGUUCAUUAUAGAAAGAGAUAAUUGUAAGCAGCAAGAAUGUACAGUAAAGUAAGAUGUACAAACACAUCACCAUCACCAAAACACAAUUUUGUCAUGAAUCCAUCUGCUUCCUUUGUUUAAUAUUCACAUAGACCAAGGUAAGCUACACAGGCUCUUUAGAGCCUCUAGUUUACUAUUUUAUGUAUUAUAUUUCAUUUGCAUUGGAAAAUAUCAAUGUUUCUGCAAACUAUUUGAGUUUUCAAACAAUUUUCUGUCUGAAAGUGGUAAAUAAACUUUUGUAGAUAAAUAUUGUUUCUAAAAUCAUAUACAUGUAUAUAUUUCUAGUUUCUGCUAAGAUAUUGUUUUUUUUUCUAUUUUCCUGUCGUUUACCCUGUAAAAUGUAAUUAAAAGAUUUGCAAUAAAUGUACAGCUAAAUUGAAUUUCAAAAAGCUUAUGCAAAUCUACAAAUUCAAUAAAGCAGAAAACGAACAAUGCACGACCGCGCAAUAAUAAUAUGUUAAGUACACCAAAAGAGUAUAGAACCAAAACAGAUGUGCAUGAUAGCAAAGUCGCGAAUGAACAUAUGAUCCUUUUACUGUUAUGGCAAAUUUCAAAUGUAGCAACUCGCAAUUAUUUUGUUUUUAACUUUUACAAGGACUGAACCACUGUUGACCUUACAUUCAGUAUAAAACUUAGAUGAAGUUUUGCAAUCUUAUCAAAACAGUAAUGGAAGUUUGAUAAAAUACCGUGAACUAAGUGUUUUUAAGAUGUUUAGACAAUUUCACUGUAUAUUUUUACUGUCUUAUUUUAGCUAAAAUUUCGUCUUUAUUCAGAUAACUGAUUAUUGUCGUUUUUGUCUUUAUUUAUCAUAACACAUAUUGUACUCAGCUGAUGUAUUAUUGUUUUUGUUUAAUUUUUUGUGAUGAAAAAAGGUUUUGGUAAGAUUGGUACUUUUUGUUUUCAAUCCUUUUGUAAAUUUUGUGUACUUUUUUUACCAUUUGAUGAGUCAAGUCCUUCCCAAAGGUUCUUUAGUGCUUUUUAUAUUGUUCUGUUACGCCUGUUGAGUAACGGUUGAACGCUCAAAAACAUAUUCAACAAUGAAAACCAUUCGAUAUGUGCAAUAUAUAAGUCAAUAACCUGUAAUUAAAAGGUUAGCGUUUUCAUUUCAUUUAUUUCACAUUUGUCAAGAUAGGGUGUUUUCUAGAUUACUAUACACAAUGUUUGUGUGCCUUUUUUGUUUACAUAGUCGUCGUGCUGUCUUUCUUUGUCUAUUUCUCGUUUGUAGUUGGCACUUCGGUGUUGACACGAAUUUCAAUUAUAUGGUAAUCUUCUUUUUUUUUUAAUUUCCUGUUAACCAAACUUUGAACUUUUGGAAAAACUAAGGAUUUUCUUAUCCCAGGAGUAGAUUACCUUAAGUAAGACGUAUUCAACAGAACUUUUUGGAAUUUUCGGUCCUCAAUGCUUUUCAACUUUGUACUUGUUUGACUUUUUAAUUAUUUUGACCUGAGCGUCACUGAUGAGUCAUUAUUGAAUCUGUUUUUGAGCGUUCAACCGUUCCUCAACAGGCGUAACAGAACAAUAUAAAACGCACUAAAGAACCUUUGGGAAGGACCAAAGUCUUAAAAUAACAAAACAAAAAACAAAAAACGAUAAAAAAAAAAUGUUGUAUGAAAAAAUAUCAGAUAAGACUGGCGUAUUAAAUUAAAAUCCUGGUGCCUUAUCUUCAGUCUUAUCCAGAUAUUUUUUCAUACAACAAUAAACAUUUUUUUUUUAUCGUUUUUUGUUUUUUGUUUUGUUAUUUUAAGAAUUUGGUUUUGAUAGCUGUCACAAACGUUUUGAACUUGUGGCAAUAAUGGCCACUUUUUCCAUUGAUAUGAUUUUCGUCGAUGGAAUUUCGUAUUAAUUAUUUUUA